UUCACGGAGAGUUUGAUCCUGGCUCAGGACAAACGCUGGCGGCGUGCCUAACACAUGCAAGUCGAGCGCGAAAGGGACC
rnacentral:ncRNA from 1 species